rnacentral:rRNA from 1 species
CCUACGGGAGGCAGCAGUGAGGAAUAUUGGUCAAUGGGCGCGAGCCUGAACCAGCCAAGUAGCGUGAAGGAUGACUGCCCUACGGGUUGUAAACUUCUUUUAUAAAGGAAUAAAGUGAUCCACGUGUGCCUUUUUGUAUGUACUUUAUGAAUAAGGAUCGGCUAACUCCGUGCCAGCAGCCGCGGUAAUACGGAGGAUUCGAGCGUUAUCCGGAUUUAUUGGGUUUAAAGGGUGCGCAGGCGGUCUGUUAAGUCAGGUGUGAAAGCCGGGGGCUCAACCGUCGGACUGCAGUUGAAACUGGCAGUCUCGAGUUGGGUAGAGGUAUGCGGAAUGCGUGGUGUAGCGGUGAAAUGCAUAGAUAUCGCGAAGAACUCCGAUUGCGAAGGCAGCACGCCGGCUUCACACUGACGCUGAGGCACGAAAGCGUGGGUAUCGAACAGGAUUAGAUACCCCUGUAGUC